AUGGAGAGGGAGUGGCCCCGCAGGCGCGGAAGAAGAGCAGCAGGCUCGGGCAUGGGCGCACAUAGGAGCGGGCAUGUGCCACGGGGUCAAUCCGAGGAGCUCCGUGGCUACCCCUGCAAUGGCCAUGGCGGACGGCGGUUCUCGGCCACGGCGAAAUACCUAACGAGAGAAAACGAGAGGGGAAACAAGGGAAAGGCAAGAGGAGAUCACGACGGUGUCAAUGGCGCCCUAGGGGAGGACAGGGGAGCUCAGGGCGGCGCGGAUCGAACGGCAAUGUUACGGUGGCCGAAGGUUGAGGAAGACGGCAGGGACGUCGAUGCGGGGGUGCUGGACUUGAUCUCGUUGGCGCAGACGAAGUAG
rnacentral:rRNA from 1 species